GUAACCACACCCCUUCUCCUGUUGAGGUGCUUUCCUGAUUAGCCGGCCCUGUAUUCCUAGCCUUCCCUCUGACGCUCGCCUUCGGUAUGUCCUUGUCCCUGCAUGUUCAGUGAGGAACCGUACUUCGCCGCUGACCUCGUCGUUCCAGUUGUAAAUGUUAAGCCUCAUCUGCUUAGCCAGUGAGACUCCGUGACCGUGAUGAAGGGCCUGAUCACAAAGGUGAUGCUGUUUUGUUUAGCCUGACAAUGCGUGUAUGAUCUAGCAUGCUCAUUACUCUGACGAACUGUUGUUUUCCAUGUCGGUCUGAUAUAUCUCUGUUGAGCUGGGUUUUCGUUUUCUUUGUUUGUCAUUUUCUUUUUGUCCUGGAACCGUGGCAUUGUACCAUCUCCUUGUCAACUCCAAUGGUGUAAUGCUUCUGUCUGGUGUGUUUCUGUUUGCAUGUGACUGUGGAAAAGGCUGGUGGUGCUGUAGCUUGUCCUGGUGCAUGUUUGUUAUUUGUACCGUCUGUAGUUAAUAUCUAUGAGUGAUUGCUAUUAUUGUCUAUGAGUGAUUCAUGUUUAUGAUUGACUGUUGGUAUCUCCUGGUGCAAUAAUUGUUUUAGUUUCAUUUAGCAGUUGCUGGGUGCUUCCAGAGGGAGGCUAGGCACCUGGUGGUGGGCCCCUGUCACUGUAUGCGGGUGUAUCAAGCUGGUUAGUGUGCAGUGUGCCGUGUUGGGCUGUGUGUGCAGUGUGCUGUGGGUUGCUUGCCAUGUAAUAGUUCACCUUACAACCACUUUGUGUGUGUGCGUGUGUGUGAGCGGUGUGGAUCCAAGAGCACGCCGUCUGCUAGUCUGCCUCCCUCAGGUAAGUCCUACUUAACACUGCCUAUACUGUAGUCUAGUGUUUCCCUGUUUUAGCCUUACUGGCAUAAAUACUAUCCAAUAAAUAUAU